UCAUUUCCUUGAUAUAUUUUAAAUUUUAUUACUAUUGGUACUCCUCCAAUGAUUAUUUCUUUUUCUGUAGUUUCUUCGGUAUACAUUAAUGCUUUUGGUAGUUCGGGGCAUAAUUGUUCAGUAGUUAUUAUUUCAUCUUCCGUUACUAAUUCUCUUGUAAUAUAGUUUUCUUCUCGUCCUGUAUCUAUUAAUAUUAAAUAUUUUCGUUGUUCCAUUAUUCCCGUUAUGUAAUAAUGAUGUGGUUUUAUUUCAUCUUCCAUUGAUUUUUGUGGAGUUUUAUCUAUUCUUCUUGAGGUACUCAUUUUUGAUGAUAUUUGUGGUAUUUCACAGUUUAUUCUUUUUGAUGUGCUUAAUCUUUCUUUUACUAUUUCUAAAUCUUCUUCUAUAUCAAUCUCAUUAUAACUAUAAUCAUUUUUAUCUAUGACUGUGACUAUUCUUUCAAAAGGAUAUUCUAUUUUUA
rnacentral:lncRNA from 1 species